rnacentral:rRNA from 1 species
AGUGAACGCUGGCGGUAGGCUUAACACAUGCAAGUCGAACGGCAGCACAGUAGCUUGCUUCUCUUACGGGGGGCGAGUGGCGGACGGGUGAGGAAGACAACCUAAUCUACUUUUCCGUGGGGGAUUACGUAAGUAGACUUACUCUAAGACCGCAUACUGCCUCCGGUUGAAAGCAGGGUAGCUUCUUACCUUUCGCGUGUGAAUGCGGCGAUGUCGGAUUAUCUAGUUGUCGGGGUAAAGGCCCACCAAGGCGAGGAUCCGUAGCUGGGCUGAGAGGGUGAUCAGGCACACUGGAACUGAGACACGGUCCAGACUCCUAAGGGAGGCAGCAGUGGGGAAUAUUGGACAAUGGGCGAAAGCCUGAUCCAGCCAGACCGCGUGAGUGAAGAAGGCCUUCGGGUUGUAAAGCCCUUUUGUUGGGAAAGAAAAGCAGCAGGUUAAUACACCGCUGUUCUGACGGUACCCAAAGAAUAAGCACCGGCUAACUACGUG